rnacentral:tRNA from 6 species
GCGAAGGUGGCGGAAUUAGUAGACGCGCUAGCUUCAGGUGUUAGUGUCCUUACGGACGUGGGGGUUCAAGUCCCCCCCCUCGCACCA